rnacentral:snoRNA from 2 species
GACCCUGAUGAUGAUGAACACAAUAACUUUCGUUCUCCUGAGGCUAUGAAUGCUGAAAAUCAUUGGAGACCUGAACUGAAGGGUU